rnacentral:tRNA from 1 species
GCCGGCGUGGCGGAAUGGCAGACGCGCCAGACUCAAAAUCUGGUCUCGGCAACGGGGUGUGGGUUCGAGUCCCUCCGCCGGCACCC